GACGAACGCUGGCGGCGUGCUUAACACAUGCAAGUCGAACGGUGAACGAGGGAGCUUGCUCCCUCCGGAUCAGUGGCGAACGGGUGAGUAACACGUGAGCAAUCUGCCCCGAACUCUGGGAUAAGCGUUGGAAACGACGUCUAAUACCGGAUACGACGCGGGAGGGCAUCCUCUCCGCGUGGAAAGAACUUCGGUUCGGGAUGAGCUCGCGGCCUAUCAGCUUGUUGGUGAGGUAACGGCUCACCAAGGCGACGACGGGUAGCCGGCCUGAGAGGGUGACCGGCCACACUGGGACUGAGACACGGCCCAGACUCCUACGGGAGGCAGCAGUGGGGAAUAUUGCACAAUGGGCGCAAGCCUGAUGCAGCAACGCCGCGUGAGGGACGACGGCCUUCGGGUUGUAAACCUCUUUUAGCAGGGAAGAAGCGGAAGUGACGGUACCUGCAGAAAAAGCACCGGCUAACUACGUG
rnacentral:rRNA from 1 species